CUACGGGGCGCACCAGUGGGGAAUAUUGGACAAUGGGGGAAACCCUGAUCCAGCAAUGCCGCGUGUGUGAAGAAGGCCUGCGGGUUGUAAAGCACUUUCGGUUGGGAGGACUGCUUCUAGCACUAAUAUUGUUGGAAGUUGACGUUACCUUCAGAAGAAGCACCGGCUAACUCCGUGCCAGCAGGCCGCGGUAAUACGGAGGGUGCAAGCGUUAAUCGGAAUUACUGGGCGUAAAGCGCGCGUAGGCGGCUAGAUCAGUCGGGUGUGAAAGCCCCGGGCUUAACCUGGGAACUGCAUCCGAUACUGUCUAGCUUGAGUACAGGAGAGGAGAGUGGAAUUCCACAUGUAGCGGUGAAAUGCGUAGAUAUGUGGAGAAACACCAAUGGCGAAGGCAGCUCUCUGGCCUGAUACUGACGCUGAGGUGCGAAAGCGUGGGGAUCAAACAGGAUUAGAUACCCGCGUAGUC
rnacentral:rRNA from 1 species